rnacentral:rRNA from 1 species
AGGACGCUACCAAAGCGACGAUCAGUAGCCGGCCUGAGAGGGUGGACCGGCCACAUUGGGACUGAGACACGGCCCAAACUCCUACGGGAGGCAGCAG